UGCAUCUCCAGACUUGGAUGAGUGUCCAUUGGGUUUUUCAUGAUGCCCUUGUAGCUUAAGUUUGCAGGAAUUUUUUCUUUAUAGAAACAACAUUUCAUGUUUCUAGGUUACAUUGACUCAUCCAGUCCUGAGCUAGAGUGCAUUUAUUUUAGGUAAAGACGCCUUUCUGAGGCUAUAGUCUCAUAUCUCUCAGAUUAAAAGAAGAGGAAGAUCAGGUAAACAUUUACCAUGUAGUUGUAAAACCCAAAAUCCACACCUCCAUUGGCUUUCUUCCCACUUCUCUGCACUAUUCAAGCGUCUGGAGAGAGAACAGUAACAGGAG
rnacentral:lncRNA from 1 species